rnacentral:tRNA from 2 species
GGAGGGUUCGCAUAGUGGCCCAGUGCGUUCGCUUGGAAAGCGAAUAUGCCGAAAGGCAUCACAGGUUCAAAUCCUGUACCCUCCGCCU